AGGUCUGCGCACUGUGUACUGUUAGUGCUUCAGUGUUGUUAGCAGAUAGCAUAGGGCAUGGGUUUGAGGCUGUUUGGCGAAACUCGUACAACCAUAAGAAUGAUUUGAUCGCCAAUACGUUUGGACAUCAUGGAAAGGAAGAUGCUUAUUUUAGCUGAAGUUUAUGUGGAGUUGUUUGCUUGCUGCUAGCAUGAACUAGCUUCGAUGUUUUCAUAGCAAAUCACUGGAUGUUACCAUUCACUGCUUGAAAAAAUCGUAAUCCUGCUACAAAUUAUGGGUCUGACUGCUGGUUCCCUGAAAUUGGUCUAUCAUAAUAACUCCUGGACUGUCCUAAUUAAGACUCCUCUCUGUCACUCACUCACACACUCUUCUCACAUUCAUUUUUCCCUGACACAGUCUUGACACAUUUUUUGCUUGUGUUUUCAUUCCUUUCACUCACACACUCUCUCCAUCAGGAACACAAACACACCACACAAACAUAACACCAGUGAAAUCCAAAACCAACUCUAAGUCCUUUACAACUACAUGUGGAUGAGAGUUCAUGAAGAGUGGUAACGUUUUCUUGACUUUUCACUAUGUACUAAAAGCACAGACUACAGGGAAAUUUAACAAACAAAUGUCAGUUAAUAAAGAGCUCUUCUUACCUCACUGUACCAAGUCUCAUCAGCACUGUGGGAACAGAGGAAAAUAAACUUAGAAGAAACAGCUUUGAGGUUUUAAACUUGUGAACUGUCUGUGGUGUAUUUAAUGAUGUUAAUUUUAGUGUAUUAAAAUUCUCUUCCUGUUUUA